CGCGCGCUUUCUCACUCUCUUCUCGGUUCUACACUCCUGUCGCCGCCGGCGAUGUCGAUUGGAGUCCGGGAUCUGACGGUCCUCGGGGAGUUCAAGCCCUUCGGCCUGGUCUCUGAGGAGCUUGAGGGGAAGCCCCUCGAGACCGGCCCCGAGGAACACCAGUACUUCCUCUUCCACGCCGACGUCGCCCGCGAGAGGGACGGCCCCGCAGCCGCUACCCUAUCCUCUGCCGCCGUCUCAGCCGAUCUCGACUUCUCUUCCCCCUCGCCCCCCUCCGACGACGGCGAUCACGAGAUCUUUAUACGCGGUAGCCGGAUAACAUGGAGCACAGGGUCCCGGGUUCAUAAACGAUACAACUCUCCGAAAACAGUCAUUAUGGCCUGCUGGUGUCGCAUGGAAGCUAUUCCAGAUGCUCUUCUUUGUGUUCUGCAGAUUGAUACUUUAUCGAUUUAUGGUGCAUCUGGUGAGGUGGUUUGUAUACCUCUACCAUUUGCUAUUGCAUCUAUAUUUCCCCUUCCAUUUGGUCUACUUCUACAGAAGGCUGUAGAUGGGAACCGGCGAAUAUCUAUCUCUGGCUCACCGCUAAAUGCAAGAGAUUUGUCUCGUUCUGGUAAAGACUCUGGGUGGAAUCGCCAUGUAUUUCAUCAACUUAACUCUUUUGAGCCAGUUAUCAAAGAGAACGAGGCAAUAACGUCAUCGCAUUUGAUCCUAAGACAUCCUUUGGAAGAGCCUCAGGCAACAUAUAUUGAAGAAUGGGGAAAAUUCAUUUUGUUGAAAGAUUUUGAGGAAAGAACUAUUUGGAGCAGUGAUGUUGUGCCUUUGAUGGCAUCAUAUCAUAAAAGCAAGAUGCAGCAUUCUAUUUGGCUUCUAGAAACUGUAUCUCAUUGUGAGGCAGAAACUGCUAUGGUUGAUGCAGUUUCAACUGAACUAUCUAAUCAACAAUUUUCAUUUAGGAGGAUAUGGCAGGGAAAAUGUUCCCAGUCUGCUGCUAGUAAGGUUUUUCUUGCGACUGAUAUGGAUGGAGUGCCUAUUAUUUGUUUUUUGCUUGUUGACCAAAAAGUACUACUUGCUGUAAGGCUUCAAAUUGAUGAAGGUAAUGAUGAGGCUCUUGUGGAUAUCAAGCCACAUAUGAGUUGGAGUAUCCCUGCACUUGAUGCUGCAUCUGUAAUUGUGACACGUCCAAGAGUCGAAGUUGGGCGUUUACCAUUUAGUGACAUUGUUGUCUUGGGUGCAGAAAACCAUCUUCUUUUAUAUUCAGGCAAACAAUGCCUUUGCAGGUACUUACUGCCUAUCCGACCGGGGAAAAACCUUUUACGUAGCAAGCAUUCUGCAGGGACAACAGACAUGUGCUCUGAACUAACGAUUACAGGAAUUAAAGAUGCUGUUGAAGGUCGCAUAAAUGUGAUUGUAAAUAAUGGACAGAUAUUCAGAUGUUCACUACGGAGAAACCCCACUACAUCUCUGGCAAAUGACUGCAUAACAGUUAUGGCUGUGGGACUUCAAUUCUCCUUUUACAGUCAUUUUGCUACUCUUCUCUGGGGUGACUUUGGUUCUGCUUAUUUCUUCCAUUCUCGUCCUCAUACAGAUUCUGAGUGGGAUGCCUUUGCUGGUGCGGUGAUGAGGAUCUGCGAUAGAUACGGAACCAGAAUGCAGAGACAGAGCCCUCCAGUGUCUGGUGCAGCUUGGGAAUUUUUAGUUAAUAGCAAGCUUCACCGUAGACACUCAAUUGGGCGAGGUAUCUUUUCUAUGAACAUGCCUAAUUGUAGUGGUGCUGACUACAACGAUUCUCAAAUACAAGAUGAGCAAAACGAAGGGAGGCCAUUUUAUUCUCAGCUUUUGGCGGAAACUUUGGACUCUUUGCACUGUCUUUAUGAGAGUUUGAAGCUGGAUAAGUUGCGAAAACAAGAUGUUGGGCAACUUGUUACACUGUUAUUUACUAUUGCUGCUUCUUUGGGUGAGGAAAAUUACGUGGACUACUAUAUUCGUGACUUCCCCUUUCUUUUAGCUGAAGGUUGUUCUUUCCAUUCAUGUGCUUCUCCAAGAACUCCUCCAUCUUUAUUCCGAUGGAUUGAAAAUUGUCUGCAUAAAGGAUACCAUGUGUCCAACAUGAAGAAUCUUCCCCCUUUAUUAUGCAGAGAGAAUAUCUAUGUUGUAAGUUGGGCCAGAAAGAUAGUGGCAUUUUAUAGUGUACUUGUAGGCGCAGAAAGGAAAGGUAGGAUACUAUCAACUGGAGUUUAUUGUGAAAUUGCCAAUGGAUCAGCCAGAACGAUAGAGGAGCUAACUGUCCUGGCCAUGGUUGGUGAAAGAUUUGGACGUCAACAACUUGACUUGCUACCUCUUGGUGUAUCUCUUCCGCUACGUCAUGCUUUGGACAAAUGUCGAGAAUCCCCUCCAACUGACUGGCCUGCUGCGGCAUAUGUUUUGGUUGGUCGUGAGGACUUAGCCAUGGCAUGUUUGGGAUCCUUGAGCAAAGAGCAUGGAAGUCAAGGCAGUUUGAAUUUAGUAGCCAUUUCUGUACCAUACAUGCUUCAUUUGCAGCCUGUAUCUGUACCUUCGUCACUCACUGAGAUCACUGGUUCGGAUAGUAUGAAGCUUGAGGACUCCGAUGCUCUUCAUAGAUCCUUGGAAGAUGGUAUGGAGCACAUCUAUAACUCGAGCACCCAAUUGCGAUUUGGCCGUGAUCUAAGGUUGAAUGAGGUUAGACGCCUUUUGUGCUCUGCGAGACCUGUGGCUAUUGAAACACCUGUUAAUCCUAGUGCUUCUGAUCAAGACCUGCAGCAGCAUCAACUUUGGAAUCUUGCUCAAAGGACUACUGCCCUUCCCUUUGGCCGUGGAGCAUUCACUUUAGCUUCUACGUAUGCUGUGUUGACCGAGGCACUUCAUGUCCCAAAGCUUGUUUUGGCUGGCAGAUUACCUGCACAACAAAAUGCUACUGUAAACCUAGAUCCAAACUUGAGAAAUAUUUUAGAACUCAGAUCCUGGCCCGAGUUUCAUAAUGGUGUUGCUGCUGGAUUAAGAUUGGCGCCCUUCGAGGGUAAAAUGUCAAGAACUUGGAUUCAAUAUAACAAACCUGAGGAACCAAGCUUUACACAUGCAGGGAUUCUUCUAGCCUUAGGCCUUCAUGGACACUUAUGUUCUUUGGCUAUGACUGAUGUAUAUCGGUAUUUAACUCAGGAGCAUGACAUCACUACAGUUGGAGUACUGCUUGGUGUGGCAGCAUCGUAUCGGGGAACUAUGCAUCCUGAAAUAUCCAGGAUACUCUACCUCCAUGUUCCCACUCGACACCAGUUAUCCUUUCCAGAGUUGGAAUUGCCAACAAAUUUGCAGUCAGCUGCACUAGUGGCUAUUGGGCUUCUCUAUGAAGGUUCAGCCCAUCCAUUCACCAUGAAGAUACUUCUGGGAGAGAUAGGUCGAAGAAGUGGUGGUGAUAAUGUGCUUGAAAGAGAAGGAUAUGCUGUUGCUGCUGGAUAUGCACUGGGACUUGUAGCUUUAGGUCGUGGGAAAGGUGCAUUUGGUUUUGUUGACAGUUUUGUGGAUCGACUUUUUCACUAUAUUGGCGAGAAAGGAGUUCAAAAUGGGAAAUCUUCAGUAGUGUCACAAACAACAGAUGAUCACAUCCGCAUUCUUGGGCAGAUGGUGGAUGGAGCUCACAUAAAUGUUGAUGUAACUGCUCCUGGUGCUACAAUUGCACUAGCACUGAUAUUUAUGAAGACAGAAUCAGAAGAAAUGGUGUCUAGACUCCAUCUUCCAGUAACUCACUUUGAUCUGCAGUAUGUGAGGCCUGAUUUUAUCAUGCUUCGUGUCAUCACACGGAAUUUGAUUAUGUGGAGCAACAUGCAGCCAUCUAGGAACUGGAUUGAAUCUCAAAUUCCUGAUAUUAUCAAAUUAGGGGUUUUGAGAUUAGAUGGAGUAGUUGAUGAUGAUGAGUUUGAUGCUGAAGCUGUUGUUCAGGCCUAUGUGAACAUAGUAGCUGGUGCUUGCAUUUCACUUGGAAUAAAGUAUGCUGGCACCAAAAGUGAAGAAGCCCAAGAGCUGCUAUAUAAUUAUGCAAUCUAUUUUCUGAACGAGAUUAAGCAUGUGCCGGCAACAACAAACAUUACCUUACCAAAAGGAAUGCUACAAUACGUGGACCGUGGCACUUCAGAGAUAUGCCUGCACCUUAUUGUUCUUUCUCUCUCUUUGGUUAUGGCAGGAUCUGGGCAUCUACAAACAUUUCGGUUAUUGAGAUACCUGCGUGGUCGAAGUUCUACAGAAGGGCACAUAAAUUAUGGAAUCCAAAUGACUGUUAGCUUAGCCAUCGGAUUUUUAUUUCUUGGGGGUGGUAUGCAAACCUUUUCAACUGGAAAUAGUGCAGUCGCUGCACUUUUAAUGACUCUUUAUCCUCGUCUUCCUACUGGUCCUAGUGAUAAUCGUUGUCACCUUCAGGCUUUCCGACAUCUGUAUGUAAUUGCUGCUGAGUCUCGUCGGGUGCAGACGGUAGAUGUUGAUACAGGUCUGCCAGUUUAUUGUCCCCUUGAAGUUUCAAUCAAGGAAACAGAACACUAUUCUGAGACUAGCUUUUGUGAAGUUACCCCCUGCAUUCUGCCAGAACGCUCUGUGCUGAAGACAGUUCGAGUUUGUGGGCCUAGGUAUUGGCCUCAAGUCAUACAGCUUAUUCCUGAAGAUAAACCUUGGUGGAGAUUUAGGGACAAGACUGGCCCUUUUAAUGGUGGUAUCUUGUACAUAAAGAGAAAAGUUGGCUCAUGUUCCUAUGUGGAUGACCCCAUUGGUUGUCAAUCUUUGCUUUCAAGAGCAAUGCACAAGGUUUGUGAUACAUCGGAUAUGAACUGCUCAAACACAAGAAACAAUAACUCUGCACCCGGUUCAUACAAAAUUGAUCAGUUAGUCAGUACAUUCUCCGCUGAUCCAAGCUUGAUAGGUUUUGCACAACUUUGCUGUGAUUCCUGGAAUAGUAGGGCUGAUGCCAAUUUCCAGGAGUUCUGCUCACAAUUACUAUUUGAGUGUGUGAGCAAAGACAGGCCGGCUCUCCUUCAGAUCUAUCUCUCGCUGUAUACGACGAUUGAAGCAAUGUGGGAGCAGGUUAAAAGUUGUCGUCUUGUUUUUGAAGAUUCACUUUUUCUUUCCAGCCUAAAGCUUGCUUUAGCCUAUAAUGAGGCUCUCAUCAAUGGCAAAUUGUCUUGUGGUAGUGUAUCCAUCAUCCAAUGUACAUUCAUUCAAUCACUUAAAAGGCAUAUGGAAGAAAUCCUGAUAUGUUCCCAAAGUCUGAAUGAGAACGUCUUCAAAUAUUUGGAUUCUGGAAUUUGGCCUGAUUGCCAAAGUGACACGGGUAAAAUGGAUGCUAUGCUUCUUUCUUGGUAUCUUUUGUGGUAUGGGAUACCAUCCUUCCGUGUCAUAAAGUCUGCUGUCGAGAAAAUCAAAGCAAAAGCUCCACUGUCCUUAACCAUGAUUCCUCUACUGCGAUUGUUACUGCCAACAACCCAAGCAAAAGGCAUUUUCGAAAUAGACAAGUUCCAAUUUUGAUCUAGGGUCUGAAAAAGUAAUUGCACGAGGAUCUGAGUGCAGAUGCAAACCUUGCUUCUGGCUUUUCCUGCAUAUGUGAACAUUGUAUCUUCCUGUUACAAUCAGUUCAAUCAGAACAUUAAAAGAUGUUGACAAUCCGGCGGCUAAAUGGGUUGAUUGCCCCUUUAAAAGGGGGGCUUGAUUGAUGUGAUGGCGAGAGGAAUGUCAGCAAAACUUUUGUUCAGUAUGGGCUUAAAUGUAGCAUCCAUUAUGUUACGCUUGCACAAGAAAAGAAUCAUACGGUGUACAAGAAAAUACUUCAAUUUGCAGAGAAAAUAGGUGCACUAGUAAAUAUCAUCAGUACUGGAUUGCUCUUGUUUUACGAACUCGACAUUGACCUUUGGUGGCGGUGAUCGCCCUGGUUGGUGAUUUGCUGCAGAUGCAAGCAAAUAUCGGCAUCUUAGCAAUGCUUUUCGUUGGCAAGCCAUCGCAGUUGAAGUAGAUUCGACCCUUCUUGCAUGAGGACCAACUGCUAUAGGUUAAAUAACCCCGAGUCCUUUGCUGGAGGCAUACGUUAUCCCCAGAAACUAUCUGUUAGAAGAGUUGGUCGGACAUGCGAUUGAUUCGAACAGCUUUUGGUCCCCUGUUAAUCACGAGUUAUCCGUGGUUGACCUUUUUCAUCAGAUAGAAAGAGAAGGAAACAAGUUGAGAGACCGUAGGGUGGUGGACUUUUUCUUUUUCCAAGAAUAAUUGGAUCGAAAAGAGAAGCCGUGGGAUGGUGGAAACCCACCAGGUUUUAAUUACUGGCCGCAGUGGGGUUCCCAGUGUGGUAUGAUCGUUUUGUCUUUGACCAACGAGCCAAGUAUCUUUUGCAGAUGAUACAAUUUAAUCAUCUUUGUCGUGUUGAUUAUAGAUUUUAAUUCAGAUAUUAUACUUUUAGUUCA